GGCAUGGAGUCCUGUGGCAUUCGUGAGACCACCUUCAACCCCAUCAUGAAGUGCGAUGUGGACAUCCACGAAGUCCUGUAUGCC
rnacentral:miRNA from 14 species